UAGUGUGAAAUAAAAGCUCAGUUGUUUUGUUUCAGUGACUGAUCAGUCUUCUCAGUGUGUCUCCUCAAGCUCCUUUCUCAAAAUGAAAGUGCCUGGUAGGCUGCUGGUGCUGUUGUUUUGGAUUCCAGCUUCCAGGAGUGAUGUUGUGUUGACACAAACUCCAGGUUCCCUGUCUGUCACACUUGGAGAUCAAGCUUCUAUAUCUUGCAGGUCUAGUCAGAGCCUGGAAUAUAGUGAUGGAUACACUUAUUUGGAAUGGUACCUACAGAAGCCAGGCCAGUCUCCACAGCUCCUCAUCUAUGGAGUUUCCAACCGAUUUUCUGGGGUCCCAGACAGGUUCAUUGGCAGUGGGUCAGGGACAGAUUUCACCCUCAAGAUCAGCAGAGUAGAGCCUGAGGACUUGGGAGUUUAUUACUGCUUCCAAGCUACACAUGAUCCUCCCACAGUGAUGCAGACCCUAACAAAAAUGUCCUUGCUUGGGGCAUCCCAGCUGUCAAAUAUGUUAUUCAUGUAUGAGAGAGAGUUUCUGAGGAACUCCAGAUUAUUGGUUCCAGCUGAGGGCAAGUGCAGCUUGGCUACAGAUCACUGGUCAUUCAUUUAUUACUUCAUUGCCACAAUAACAAUUUUGCACCUGCCUCAGGAAAAAAGCAAACAGGUGAUCACUCAAAAACAAGAAAAGAAUGAGAAAAUAGCUGAGUGAAUACAUAUUUGAAUU